rnacentral:rRNA from 1 species
UACGUAGGGGGCUAGCGUUGUCCGGAUUUAUUGGGCGUAAAGAGCGUGUAGGCGGCCAGAUAGGUCUGCUGUGAAAACUCGAGGCUCAACCUCGAGAUGUCGGCGGAAACCAUUUGGCUAGAGUCCGGAAGAGGAAAGUGGAAUUCCUGGUGUAGCGGUGAAAUGCGCAGAUAUCAGGAGAACACCCGUGGCGAAGGCGGCUUUCUGGGACGGUACUGACGCUGAGACGCGAAAGCGUGGGGGAGCGAACAGG